rnacentral:lncRNA from 10 species
GAGGUAGGAGUCGACUCCUGUGAGGUAUGGUGCUGGGUGCAGAUGCAGUGUGGCUCUGGAUAGCACCUUAUGGACAGUUGUGUCCCCAAGGAAGGAUGAGAAUAGCUACUGAAGUCCUAAAGAGCAAGCCUAACUCAAGCCAUUGGCACACAGGUAUGGAGAGUCGGCUUGACUACACUGUGUGGAGCAAGUUUUAAAGAAGCAAAGGACUCAGAAUUCAUGAUUGAAGAAAUGCAGGCAGACCUGUUAUCCUAAACUAGGGUUUUUAAUGACCACAACAAGCAAGCAUGCAGCUUACUGCUUGAAAGGGUCUUGCCUCACCCAAGCUAGAGUGCAGUGGCCUUUGAAGCUUACUACAGCCUCAAACUUCUGGGCUCAAGUGAUCCUCAGCCUCCCAGUGGUCUUUGUAGACUGCCUGAUGGAGUCUCAUGGCACAAGAAGAUUAAAACAGUGUCUCCAAUUUUAAUAAAUUUUUGCAAUCCA